rnacentral:rRNA from 1 species
AGCAUAUCAAUAAGCGGAGGAAAAGAAACCAACAGGGAUUGCCUCAGUAACGGCGAGUGAAGCGGCAACAGCUCAAAUUUGAAAUCUGGCGCAAGCCCGAGUUGUAAUUUGUAGAGGAUGCUUCUGGGCAGCGGCCGGUCCAAGUUCCUUGGAACAGGACGUCAUAGAGGGUGAGAAUCCCGUAUGCGACCGGUUGGCACCCUAUACGUAGCUCCUUCGACGAGUCGAGUUGUUUGGGAAUGCAGCUCUAAAUGGGAGGUAAAUUUCUUCUAAAGCUAAAUACCGGCCAGAGACCGAUAGCGCACAAGUAGAGUGAUCGAAAGAUGAAAAGCACUUUGGAAAGAGAGUUAAAAAGCACGUGAAAUUGUUGAAAGGGAAGCGCACGCCACCAGACCUGUCGGCGGUGUUCCGCCGGUCUUCUGACCGGUCUACUCGCCGCCGACAGGCCAGCAUCACUUGGGUGCGCCGGAUAAAGGCGCGGGGAAUGUAACUCCCCUCGGGGAGUGUUAUAGCCCCGCGCACAAUACGGUGCCGCCCGAGUGAGGUCCGCGCUUCGGCUAGGAUGCUGGCGUAAUGGUUGUGUGCGGCCCGUCUUGAAACACGGACCAAGGAGUCUAACAUCUAUGCAAGUGUUCGGGUGUCAAACCCCUACGCGUAAUGAAAGUGAACGGAGGUGGGAACCGCAAGGUGCACCAUCGACCGAUCCUGAUGUCUUCGGAUGGAUUUGAGUAAGAGCAUAGCUGUUGGGACCCGAAAGAUGGUGAACUAUGCCUGAAUAGGGUGAAGCCAGAGGAAACUCUGGUGGAGGCUCGCAGCGGUUCUGACGUGCAAAUCGAUCGUCAAAUUUGGGUAUAGGGGCGAAAGACUAAUCGAACCAUCUAGUAGCUGGUUCCUGCCGAAGU